rfam:Aedes albopictus isolate Foshan contig33165, whole genome shotgun sequence.
GUCGCUUGCAGGGACGCGGUCGUGCAGGAAAUUAUUUGGCAUUAGAUUCAAAUGUUAACUGUAAGACUGUGUCUUUGCGGGUGAU